rnacentral:rRNA from 1 species
AUUGAACGCUGGCGGCAGGCCUAACACAUGCAAGUCGAGCGGUAGAGAGAAGCUUGCUUCUCUUGAGAGCGGCGGACGGGUGAGUAAUGCCUAGGAAUCUGCCUGGUAGUGGGGGAUAACGUUCGGAAACGGACGCUAAUACCGCAUACGUCCUACGGGAGAAAGCAGGGGACCUUCGGGACUUGCGCUAUCAGAUGAGCCUAGGUCGGAUUAGCUAGUUGGUGGGGUAAUGGCUCACCAAGGCGACGAUCCGUAACUGGUCUGAGAGGAUGAUCAGUCACACUGGAACUGAGACACGGUCCAGACGCCUACGGGAGGCAGCAGUGGGGAAUAUUGGACAAUGGGCGAAAGCCUGAUCCAGCCAUGCCGCGUGUGUGAAGAAGGUCUUCGGAUUGUAAGGCACUUUAAGUUGGGAGGAAGGGCAGUAAAUUAAUACUUUGCUGUUUUGACGUUACCGACAGAAUAAGCACCGGCUAACUCUGUGCCAGCCGCCGCGGUAA